UGGGGAAUUUUGGACAAUGGGCGAAAGCCUGAUCCAGCCAUGCCGCGUGAGUGAAGAAGGCCUUCGGGUUGUAAAGCUCUUUUAGUCGGAAAGAAAGAGUUGCAAUGAAUAAUUGUGAUUUAUGACGGUACCGACAGAAAAAGCACCGGCUAACUACGUGCCAGCAGCCGCGGUAAUACGUAGGGUGCGAGCGUUAAUCGGAAUUACUGGGCGUAAAGGGUGCGUAGGCGGUCUUGCAAGUCAGAUGUGAAAGCCCCGGGCUUAACCUGGGAAUUGCGUUUGAAACUACAAGGCUAGAGUGCAGCAGAGGGGAGUGGAAUUCCAUGUGUAGCAGUGAAAUGCGUAGAGAUGUGGAAGAACACCGAUGGCGAAGGCAGCUCCCUGGGUUGACACUGACGCUCAUGCACGAAAGCGUGGGGAGCAAACA
rnacentral:rRNA from 1 species